CCCUUAGAUGUUCUGGGCCGCACGCGCGCUACACUGACGAAUGCAACGAGCUUAUAACCUUGGCCGAAAGGUCUGGGUAAUCUCCAAAUUUCGUCGUGAUGGGGAUAGAUUAUUGCAAUUAUUAAUCUUCAACGAGGAAUGCCUAGUAAGCGCAAGUCAUCAGCUUGCGUUGAUUACGUCCCUGCCCUUUGUACACACCGCCCGUCGCUCCUACCGAUUGAAUGGUCCGGUGAAGCGUUCGGACCGUGGCCUUUGAACGGUUCGCCGUCUGUUGGCUGCGGGAAGUUCGUUAAACCUUAUCAUUUAGAGGAAGGAGAAGUCGUAACA
rnacentral:rRNA from 1 species